rnacentral:rRNA from 1 species
GAUGAACGUUGGCGGCGUGCCUAAUACAUGCAAGUCGAACGAAGACUGUAGUAAUACUGUCUUAGUGGCGAACGGGUGAGUAACGCGUGGGUGACCUGCCCCGAAGUGUGGGAUAACAGUUCGAAAGAACUGCUAAUACCGCAUAAUAUCCAAGAGAUUAGACGCUUUUGGAUUAAAGGAGAAAUUCGCUUCGGGAGGGGCCCGCGUCCCAUCAGCUAGUUGGUAAGGUAAUGGCUUACCAAGGCGAUGACGGGUAGGGGACCUGAGAGGGUGGCCCCCCACAAUGGAACUGAAACACGGUCCAUACACCUACGGGUGGCAGCAGUAGGGAAUAUUAGUAAUGGGCGAAAGCCUGAACUAGCAACGCCGCGUGUGCGAAGAAGGCCUUCGGGUUGUAAAGCACUUUUUGUAGAGGAUGAGGAAGGACGGUACUCUCAGAAUAAGUCUCGGCUAACUACGUG